rnacentral:rRNA from 1 species
UACGUAGGGUGCGAGCGUUGUCCGGAAUUAUUGGGCGUAAAGAGCUUGUAGGUGGCUCGUUGCGUCGGGAGUGAAAACCUGCGGCUUAACCGCAGGCCUGCUUCCGAUACGGGCGAGCUAGAGUUCGGCAGGGGAGACUGGAAUUCCUGGUGUAGCGGUGGAAUGCGCAGAUAUCAGGAGGAACACCGGUGGCGAAGGCGGGUCUCUGGGCCGAUACUGACGCUGAGACGCGAAAGCGUGGGGAGCGAACAGG